rnacentral:rRNA from 1 species
AGUCUGACGGAGCAACGCCGCGUGAGUGAUGAAGGUUUUCGGAUCGUAAAGCUCUGUUGUUAGGGAAGAACAAGUGCAAGAGUAACUGCUUGCACCUUGACGGUACCUAACCAGAAAGCCACGGCUAACUACGUGCCAGCAGCCGCGGUAAUACGUAGGUGGCAAGCGUUGUCCGGAAUUAUUGGGCGUAAAGGGCUCGCAGGCGGUUUCUUAAGUCUGAUGUGAAAGCCCCCGGCUCAACCGGGGAGGGUCAUUGGAAACUGGGAAACUUGAGUGCAGAAGAGGAGAGUGGAAUUCCACGUGUAGCGGUGAAAUGCGUAGAGAUGUGGAGGAACACCAGUGGCGAAGGCGACUCUCUGGUCUGUAACUGACGCUGAGGAGCGAAAGCGUGGGGAGCGAACAGGAUUAGAUACCCUGGUAGUCCACGCCGUAAACGAUGAGUGCUAAGUGUUAGGGGGUUUCCGCCCCUUAGUGCUGCAGCUAACGCAUUAAGCACUCCGCCUGGGGAGUACGGUCGCAAGACUGAAACUCAAAGGAAUUGACGGGGGCCCGCACAAGCGGUGGAGCAUGUGGUUUAAUUCGAAGCAACGCGAAGAACCUUACCAGGUCUUGACAUCCUCUGACAACCCUAGAGAUAGGGCUUUCCCUUCGGGGACAGAGUGACAGGUGGUGCAUGGUUGUCGUCAGCUCGUGUCGUGAGAUGUUGGGUUAAGUCCCGCAACGAGCGCAACCCUUGAUCUUAGUUGCCAGCAUUAGUUGGGCACUCUAAGGGUGACUGCCGGUGACAAACCGGAGGAAGG